UACGAAGGGGGCUAGCGUUGCUCGGAGUCACUGGGCGUCAAGGGUGCGUAGGCGGGUCUUUAAGUCAGGGGUGAAAUCCUGGAGCUCAACUCCAGAACUGCCUUUGAUACUGAGGAUCUUGAGUUCGGGAGAGGUGAGUGGAACUGCGAGUGUAGAGGUGUAAUUCGUAGAUAUUCGCAAGAACACCAGUGGCGAAGGCGGCUCACUGGCCCGGAACUGACGCUGAGGUGCGAAAGCGUGGGGAGCAAACAGG
rnacentral:rRNA from 1 species